AUUCUAUUUUGCUCCUGAAAGAAAUAUGAAACCCUAAAGUCUCCAAGUUUAACUCUGCUUCUCGCUUACCCCAUAGUCCAAUCGAUUCCAAAGCAAAGCCGACGACGUUGACAUAUCCGACGAGGGCUCUGCCUCCCUUGCGAUAGCCGCCGACGAGGGCUCUGCCUCCCUUGCGAUAGCCGCCGGCCAGUUCGCCUACCGCCGAUACGUGUUUCUUAUUAUCUCAUUUUCUAAUUUUUUUGCUGUGUCUAUCUGCUGACGAAUCCGACAGGCGACGAAGCUGCUGCCGACAACGAUCGACGACGAGGGCUCCGCCUCCCCUGCGAUAGCCGAGCGCUCUGCCUCCCCUUUGAUAGCCGCCGACCAGUUAGCCCACCGCCUUCGUCCAUCGCCGCACUUUAGCAGUGGGCAAUGAUUGAGAGGAUACAGUGAUCAGGUGGUUGAGGAUGCAAAUGUUGUGCUUUACAUGUUUGGUUCUUAUCGACUAGGAGUAAGGAGCUUCCUUCAGUGUUUCACUGUCCAUAAGAUCAUUGUUCUACAGGUCAAUUGAUCUUCUGUAUGCCAGUAUUUCUCUACUGAUUGUACCUGAUAAUUUGGACAUAUCCAAUGUGUCUGUGUUGUACAAUGUUGGACAAAUUCUCAAGCUUGUUCCAAAUGUUGAGAAUUUCAGGACAACUCUACGAUGUGUGAAGUUUUGGGCUAAAAAACGUGGCAUUUAUUCAAAUGUUUGAUAGGGAAGACCAGUGUGAAAAGAACAAAGGCAUUUGUCAUUUUGAGGCUCAGGCUAGUGAUCAGAAACUUCCCUUAAAAUAAGAGAUGGAUUCUCCAUUAUUGAUUGUUGAACGGUUCUCCAUUAGGAAACAUGUUUAUUUGUACAGUCUCACCUUUCAAAAUAGCCAACAAAUACAUUACUCUGGCUAUUUGUUAUAAUCAGUUUCGUUGCCUUUAGUCUUUAUAAAUUUGUAUGAAACAUUUCAUUUUUGGUAGUGAGGAUGAACUCUUUUAAUAUAUUGAUCAAGCUUUGAUUGCAAAA